AUUUAAGCCACCACACCACCAGGUCACUUGAGACCCUGCCUGGGAUGCGGUGAGUGCUUCCUGGGUGCCUGAGGACUCAGGACUGUCCAUGAAAGAGGGCAGCCCUGGCUCCCUCUGCCUGGUUUUCAGUCCCCAGCAUGGCAGUCUGUGGGCUGCCCUUUGCAGCCUCCAGUGCCCUCCUGGCCUAGCUUUCCCAUCCCCUGUGGCCAGCACCCCUAGCCCCAGCUGAGCGUGGGAAAAUGGACAGGAGGAGCCCCAGAGGCUGAGUGGCAGCCCCUUCCAGGACCUCGCCAGGACACAGCUGCCCCUCACCCACCCCUGCUCCCACAGAGCUGAGGGCAACAUCCCAGGGCUCUUGGCGGCCUGGGCCUGCCUGCCCCUGCCCUUGGCUAGCCCUGGAUCCCCUGACCCCUGUGCCCCCACCCCAGGGCGAGCUGAGGAUCAGUGUCCUGCCUGCCUACCUGUCCUAUGAUGCCCCAUGGCCUGUCAGGAAGAUCCCGCUGCGCUGCACGGCCCACUAUGUGGCUUACCACGUGGAGUCUAAGGUGUAUGCUGUGGCCACCAGCACCAACACGCCGUGUGCCCGCA
rnacentral:lncRNA from 1 species